rnacentral:rRNA from 1 species
GGGUGAGUAACGCGUGAGUAACCUGCCUUACACAAGGGGAUAGCCUCUGGAAACGGAGAAUAAUACCCUAUGAAACUAUCUUAUCGCAUGAAAAGAUAGUCAAAGUGUUUUAGCGGUGUAAGAUGGACUUGCGUCUGAUUAGCUAGUUGGUGAGAUAACAGCCCACCAAGGCAACGAUCAGUAGCCGGCUUGAGAGAGUGUACGGCCACAUUGGGACUGAAACACGGCCCAG